UCAAACUUGGUCAUUUAGAGGAAGUAAAAGUCGUAACAAGGUUUCCGUAGGUGAACCUGCGGAAGGAUCAUUACGAAGAAACAAAGGCUCUCGCGGGCCUUUCGCUAAUCCAGCCCCUCGGGGCGAAGAUGGCGUCAACCUCUUGUGAACCUUCUACCUUUGCUUCGGCAGCAGUCACGUGUUGGUCAGACUAAACAACUGGCCUUCACUGUGGUUGUAAGGCUGCCAGAAGCCCACAACAAAAACUAUUUGAACAAGAAAUCAUUACAGUCUGAUCAUUAUUAUGAAAUUUAAUCAUAUUAAAACUUUCAGCAACGGAUCUCUUGGUUCUCGCAUCGAUGAAGAACGCAGC
rnacentral:misc_RNA from 1 species